UACGAAGGGUGCAAGCGUUACUCGGAAUUACUGGGCGUAAAGCGUGCGUAGGUGGUUUGUUAAGUCUGAUGUGAAAGCCCUGGGCUCAACCUGGGAAUGGCAUUGGAUACUGGCGAGCUAGAGUGCGGUAGAGGGUAGUGGAAUUCCCGGUGUAGCAGUGAAAUGCGUAGAGAUCGGGAGGAACAUCAAUGGCGAAGGCAGAUCUCUGGGCCGUAACUGACGCUGAGGAGCGAAAGCGUGGGGAGCGAACAGG
rnacentral:rRNA from 1 species